rnacentral:rRNA from 1 species
GAUGAACGCUGGCGGCGUGCCUAAUACAUGCAAGUCGAGCGAACAGACGAGGAGCUUGCUCCUUUGACGUUAGCGGCGGACGGGUGAGUAACACGUAGGUAACCUACCUAUAAGACUGGGAUAACUUCGGGAAACCGGAGCUAAUACCGGAUAAUAUUUAGAACCGCAUGGUUCGAUAGUGAAAGAUGGCUUUGCUAUCACUUAUAGAUGGACCUGCGCCGUAUUAGCUAGUUGGUAAGGUAACGGCUUACCAAGGCAACGAUACGUAGCCGACCUGAGAGGGUGAUCGGCCACACUGGAACUGAGACACGGUCCAGACUCCUACGGGAGGCAGCAGUAGGGAAUCUUCCGCAAUGGGCGAAAGCCUGACGGAGCAACGCCGCGUGAGUGAUGAAGGUCUUCGGAUCGUAAAACUCUGUUAUUAGGGAAGAACAAACGUGUAAGUAACUGUGCACGUCUUGACGGUACCUAAUCAGAAAGCCACGGCUAACUACGUG